rnacentral:rRNA from 1 species
UACGAAGGGGGCUAGCGUUGUUCGGAAUUACUGGGCGUAAAGCGCGCGCAGGCGGCUAUCCAAGUCAGUGGUGAAAGCCUGGAGCUCAACUCCGGAACUGCCAUUGAAACUGUUUAGCUUGAGGAUGAGAGAGGUGAGUGGAAUUCCCAGUGUAGAGGUGAAAUUCGUAGAUAUUGGGAAGAACACCGGUGGCGAAGGCGGCUCACUGGCUCAUUACUGACGCUCAGGCGCGAUAGCGUGGGGAUCAAACAGG